rnacentral:rRNA from 1 species
UGGCUCAGGAUGAACGCUGGCGGUAUGCUUAACACAUGCAAGUCGAACGGUGUCUUCGGACAUAGUGGCGGACGGGUGAGUAACGCGUGAGAAUCUGGCUUCAGGUCUGGGACAACCACUGGAAACGGUGGCUAAUACCGGAUGUGCCGAGAGGUGAAAGAUUAAUUGCCUGAAGAUGAGCUCGCGUCUGAUUAGCUAGUUGGAAGUGUAAUGGACUCCCAAGGCGACGAUCAGUAGCUGGUCUGAGAGGACGAUCAGCCACACUGGGACUGAGACACGGCCCAGACUCCUACGGGAGGCAGCAGUGGGGAAUUUUCCGCAAUGGGCGAAAGCCUGACGGAGCAAUACCGCGUGAGGGAGGAAGGCUCUUGGGUCGUAAACCUCUUUUCUCAGGGAAGAACACAAUGACGGUACCUGAGGAAUAAGCAUCGGCUAACUCCGUGCCAGCAGCCGCGGUAAUACGGAGGAUGCAAGCGUUAUCCGGAAUGAUUGGGCGUAAAGCGUCCGCAGGUGGCAAUGUAAGUCUGCUGUUAAAGAGUCUAGCUCAACUAGAUAAGAGCAGUGGAAACUACAUAGCUAGAGUACGUUCGGGGCAGAGGGAAUUCCUGGUGUAGCGGUGAAAUGCGUAGAGAUCAGGAAGAACACCAGUGGCGAAGGCGCUCUGCUAGGCCGUAACUGACACUGAGGGACGAAAGCUAGGGGAGCGAAUGGGAUUAGAUACCCCAGUAGUCCUAGCCGUAAACGA